UCAAGUUAAAGAGUGUGUAUAUAAUGCAACUGAAAACUCUUUAUCUCUGUUCUGUAUCUAAUAAUAUAAAUAUAUAUCUAUGUGUAUAUUGUUUCAGAGUGUAAUGAAGUUGAGAGUAGUAUUUUAACCAAAAGAACAUCUGCCUUAACAACAGUGAAGGUUUUAGCGAGCAGGUGUUAUUUGGUGAUGUUGAAAGAAAUCCAGGACCUACAAUGGUUUAUCAAGACUAAUCUUAGUGCUUGCCAUACAAGUGUCAAAGAGUGAAGGGCAAGAACAAUUUUAAAGAACAGAGAAGACUUGUUUUAUUGCACUUAGUUUUGAGUUUUUGUUUUAUAUUUUACCACUAUGAUAGAGUAAUGUAACAUUCAGGAAAUGUAUUGUUCUGAUA